rnacentral:sRNA from 1 species
UAAUUAUAAAUUUAAAUUAGCGGGGUACCGCAGUUUUUUUUACAGGACGGGUUUGGCGAAACAGGUUUGGAAGGACGUUACUUAAUAACAAUUGUAAACUAUAAAAUAAAAAUAUUUUAUAGAUAGAUAUAAUUUGCAAAAUUUUAUAUAUACUAAUUUCGAAAAACAAAUUGUCUCCGCGGUGUACCGCGGGUUAAAAUCUAGUGCAAAUGUAAAGAGAGAAACCUAUAAGAGUUAACUUAAAAGACUAUUUAAUUUUUGCUUUCUUUUUUCUCUUUCAUGUGAAAACUUUUAAAGCAAAUGAGUAAUUAGUUAUACAUUAUGUUAUUCAAAUUAUGUCAAUCCAAUAUUUAGCCAUGAGCCUAUCAUGAUGUGAUUGGAUACUAGAUUAGGAGAGAAUACAUAGAACAAGAAAUUGUUUGCUUAGAAUCAAGUUAGGCAACUUUCAAACUAAAUAAGUAACAUAAUUGUAUACCAUUUUAUCAUAUAUGGUUGAUAUAAGUAUUUCAUAAUAGUU